ensembl:lncRNA
GGGAAAUCCACGUCCUCAAAAGUAAUUAACAAGGUUACGGCUUCUUAUUGAGAGAUCACUAUUCAUCUGCCUACACUUUGUGGUGACCCACGUAGCCAGAGAUGGCUGGCACCUACCCAUCAAAAGGGCGGCGGGUAGCCUAGUGGUCAGAGCGUUGGGCCAGUAACCGCAAAGUCGCUUGAUCGAAUCCCUGAGAUGACAAGGUAAAAAUCUGCAGUUCUGCCCCUGAACAAUGCAGUUAACCAACUGUUCCCCGGAUGUUUCUUCUGGAGACAGGGUUCCUGUAUGUGCUCAUCGCCCCAUUGAAGUCUGUGCCAGGGUGGCUGUGGGGCAGAGAGCAUAACCAUGUAACCCCAGGUUGAUCCGCUAGCUGCUUUUCAGAAUGAUGUUCGCCUCCGGAGUCCUCAAACUGGCUUGUGUAUGUGUCUCUCUAAUGUGGUUGUAUAUAUUUAUCGCUCUAUCCCUGAUGUAGUCCUAAGACUCAGUGUAUCGCUAUGCCCCUGGCCUGUGUACGUGUCUCUCUAAUGUGGUUGUAUAUAUUUAUCGCUCUAUCCCUGAUAUAGUCCUAAGACUCAGUGUAUCGCUAUGCCCCUGGCCUGUGUAUGUGUCUCUCUAAUGUGGUUGUAUGUAUUUAUCGCUCUAUCCCUGAUGUACACUACCGGUCAAAAGUUUGGACACACCUACUCAGUCAAGGGUUUUUCUUUAUUUGGACUAUUUUCUACAUUGUAGAAUAAUAGUGAAGGCAUCAAAACUAUGAAAUAACACAAGGAAUCAUGUGGUAAACAAAGUGUUAAACAAAUCAAAAUAUAUGAUAUAUUUGAGAUUCUUCAAAUAGCCAGAACAAGACGAAAACGCAAAAACAACACAACUUUGUCUCCACUCUGCUUUCGAGCAGCUAUUUGCAGCUGAUUUUGACCGGUCCAAAGAAAUUACAAGAGCGAUAGGUUGGGCCUACAUUUAUAGCUGCGGAUAUACGCCCAUUCUUCGUAUUUAAGAGGAAAAAAAUUCAGCCUCGUGAAAGUGCCACAUUACGAACUUCACCCUCUCGCACCCAUUUCAGAAUAACAGGUCCUAGCCGCUCUAUAUAAACUAAAGCCGAAGUUGUCAAUGAAUUUGCCAACGCCCCCGGUGUUUAGCUUACUACAGAUGGAUGGACAUCCAGGGUUACAGAGAGCUACUUAACAGUGACAUCCCAUCGCAAUAUCCCGGAGUGGGAAAUUAGAAGUACUACAGACAUGCUCCCUUUAUGAGAGUCACACAACGGCGCAUAUUUUUCUAUUUGUACAAAGACAGAGCAUAGGCCUAUACAAUGUCUGAGCCAGGUUUACAUAAUUGAUUUCACACACAUAUUGCACUUAAUUGUGUUUGAUGAGUAAUGGUGUGUUUUCAUUUAAGAAAAUGCUGAUGUGUUUGCUCCAAAUUCAUAUGAUCCUACGUUUUUAUGAUCCUACGUUCUCUGAACAGCAUAUUAUUAUAAUUAACAGAAUUCCAUCUGGUUAUUGGGACAGACAUUCAUGUAAUUUUGUACAUGCAGGACAAAUCUAAUAAGACAACCACAAUCCAGUUUCUCAAAAACGUGAAAUCACACACAAUGACUGGGCCCUUCUGUAACAUGCCAUUCACAUCAAUGUAAUGUUUCCCCUAUCCGCCUGUUCCAUUGUCU